CCUGGAUGACUCAAACCCAGAGCUUCCCUCAAUGAGCCUCCAAAAAGGGGGUGUCUACGAUUGGCAGGACGCCGGGGGAAGAGGGGCUGGAGUCUGGCUUGAAAGAGGGGGGCAGUGAUUUGUGGGGAACUGGGCCAGUCGGGAGGCAAGAGUCAGAAGCAGGGGACGCUUCAGAGCUGGAGGAAGAGGAGGAUGAGGCAGGCCAGGGAAGGGCCAGGGGCUUCCCCACCUUCUCCUGAACCUCCAUCUCCCAGAACCAGGACCGGACUGAAGAGGGAAGAGCAAAACAAGGAUUAUUGGGGGGUAAUUAUCCUUGCAAUUUUCACCCAGAGACAGGAG